rnacentral:rRNA from 1 species
AGCCUUUAGCCUAGAAUAUUAAAGGUACCGCCUGCCCAGUGACACCAUCACCGUUAAACGGCCGCGGUAUACUAACCGUGCAAAGGUAGCGUAAUCACUUGUCUCCUAAUUAGAGACUAGUAUGAACGGCUUAAUGAGGAUAUAACUGUCUCACAAGACCAAUCAGUGAAAUUGAUCUACCAGUACAAAAGCUGGUAUAUACCCAUAAGACGAGAAGACCCUGUGGAGCUUUAGAUAAGACGCCAACCCACAACCUGAUGGCAUCCUACCUUUAGUUGGGGCGACUACGGAAACAAACGAAACUUCCAAGACAAACACUAAGACUGACAUGUCGAUACAUGACCCAGUACCACUGAUAAACGAACCAAGUUACCCCAGGGAUAACAGCGCCAUCUUCUUAAAGAGUCCCCAUCGACAAGAAGGUUUACGACCUCGAUGUUGGAUCAGGAUACCCAAAUGGUGCAGCCACUAUUAAAGGUUCGUUUGUUCAACGAUUAACAAUCCU